CGUGAAUGAUCCGCGUCCGAUUCAAUCAUUUUCUUCCUCAAUUGAGCAUCGUUGGAUCUUGUAUCUCACUCGCAGCGAUUCGUGUAUAGCUUGACCUCCAUGGCGUCGAUUUCAAGUGGUUUCCGUGAGUACUUGAAACGUAGUCUCGCAAGAGUUGCUAAGAUCACUGGUAAGUUCUCUUCAGCAGUAUUAUAUAUAUACGUGCUUAAAAAAGGUAAAAGUUCAAAUGCUAGCUUGACACAUUGCUGGCUAUCAUCCCUAACAAAAUGUUGACACAUUCCAAGAUAAUCUAGUUAUUUUGUCCGCUUUCGCUAUAACUACGUACUUAUAAAAUGAAUGAAUCAUAAAUAUAUGCUUCUCUAAGACGUCUUUGUUUAACAUAGUCUGAGUUUGUCAUUAUCAGAGAAAAUGAUAAGUAUAAUAAGAGUCUAGGUGCACGCCACAAAUCCCUGUAUAUAGCAAUGACCGUUUGAGGAUCGCCCACAAAUCCAAUGUUUGUGAAAAAGAAGAAAACAAAUAUUCAUCUUUGUGUUUUAUGGCGAUUUGG